GGCUCAGUGGGAGAAAGGAGAGGCCUCAGAUUUUGACGCUGAAGACCAGGGUUCGAUUCCCAGCUCAGCCA